GAUUCUUUCUCCUUUCUUAACCCAGAUUGAUUGAUCGGUUGAUUGAUAUAACCCAGCAGUGUGCAUUCCUGAUGCCUAUCUGAAUCAAUUCCUGUUUCUGAUUACUAAUUGGCCUGCUUCCUUUCGUUAAUUGCACUUUUGUGAGGACUACUCUGGGUGACCCGCAUUGUGAGCUCAUUAACAGCUUUGUUCGACCUCAGGCAGGUUAAGGCAGUCACCCAAGGUCAGACACCUAUUUAAUGGGGAGUCUGGUUUCAAACCCACAUCUGACUGACAGCAAUUCCACCCUGAGCUUUGAAGGCUCAGAAGACACAUUGCUGAGAGCAAAGCUGAAUUAACUCUGUGUGGGUUGAAGAAAGAAGACAUGAGAUUUGGAGUCAAACAGGCAGGAGUUCUAACCCUCCUCUUGCUAACUUGUGAUCCUUGGUAUCUUCUUACUGGAUAGCUGAUCAUUCUAUUAAUGAAGAAUAAUCUUGGAGAUUAAUUUGUGCUAGGAACCACAGCCAACUCCCACUGGAAUUGUCUAUCAAGAGUAAUAGUGUAGUGGAAGUGACACUUUGUGAAUUCCAGACCUAGACCUUAAGAAGUUUCCAUUGUUUGUCUUCUGGGAAACCUGUCACUACCUAAAGAAGUCUGGGCUAUAUCUCUGAAGAGAAAAGCCUUGGAAGAUAUGACUCCAUGUAGAGAGGGAGACCAUGUGGAGAACAGCCAAUGAUCCAGAUACAUAAAAUGACCACGAAAAGAAAGGCUACUCAUCCCAGAAACUGCACCAACCAUUUGAGCUGAUCCUCUGGCCUCUACCAAGCUUCCCAGGCAACACUAUGGAGAACAGAGAUGAGCCAUCCCUGCUGAUCCUUUCCUAAAUUUCUGUUCCUCAGAAUUGUGAGUAAUUUAAUGUUCAUUGUCUAAAGCCACUAAGAUUUUUUUAACACACCAAUAGACAACUUCUUUGAUUUUAUAUUUUCAUCUCUUUUUGUUUUACUAAAAAUCUUUAUUAAUACUGAUGUUUAUAUACAAUACAUUUUUAUGUUUAUCUCUUCUAUCUGUGUAUGUAUGCAUGUGCAUGUUUUUAUUAGCUUCAGAAUAAAAAUCCUAAUGUUUAAGGUUUUUGACACCACCUUAUAAACUAAUUACCCUUCUCAUGGGAG
rnacentral:lncRNA from 1 species